rnacentral:misc_RNA from 1 species
GAAAGGAGAGAACUAGUGUGAAUUGCAGAAUUGCGUGAAUCAUCGAGUCUUUGAACGCACAUUGCGCCCCCUGGUAUUCCGGGGGGCAUGCCUGUCCGAGCGUCAUUGCUGCCCAUCAAGCACGGCUUGUGUGUUGGGUCGUCGUCCCCUCUCCGGGGGGGACGGGCCCCAAAGGCAGCGGCGGCACCGCGUCCGAUCCUCGAGCGUAUGGGGCUUUGUCACCCGCUCUGUAGGCCCGGCCGGCGCUUGCCGAACGCAAAUCAAUCUUUUUCCAGGUUGACCUCGGAUCAGGUAGGGAUACCCGCUGAACUUAAGC